AUGGUAAAGGACCCUGGGCUCAGCCUGGAGAAUAUCGCCGCCCCAAAGAAGAGCUGGAGGUGGCGAAGGCGGAGAGGCGCUGGUAUGAGGAGGCAGCACGGCGGAUGGAAGCCCGAGAGUCAGCCCCAAAAAUGUCUUGGGGGAGGGCACACAGGGAGUAUGGCGAAGCCAGGUAGGAGACCUGCGCCAACUUCCUGUGCCUACCGGGGGGCUAGAGAGACCGGGCAGGCACUGUGUUAUGCAGUGGAGCGCACGGUGUCUCCAGUGCGGGUGCAUAUCCCGGUGCGGUACAUACCAGCUCCUCGUAUCGGCCGGGCUAGAGUAAGCAUCGAGCCAAGUGUCAUGAAGCCGGCUCUACGCAUCUGGUCUCCAGUGCGUCUCCUUGGGCCGGCUUACCUGGCACCAGCCUUGCGCACAGUGUCCCCGGUUCGCCUGCAUAGCCCAGUGCGGGCUAUUCCACCUCGCCGCACUGGCAGGGUGACCGGGAGCAUUCAACCAGGUAAAGUUGGGCAGGCUCGGUGCUCAAGAGCUCCAGUGCGCCUGCACGGUCCGGUCUAUCCAGUACCACCUCCACGCACCAGCCCUCCGGUGGCAGCUCCCCGCACCAGGCUUCCUGUGCGUGUCCUCGGCCCAGUACCACCAGUGCCAGCACCACGCAUCAGGCCUCUCCAGUGCUGCCAGAGCCUUCCUCCUCUCCAGCGCUUCCGGAGUCUCCCGCCUGUCCAGCGCUGCCAGAGCCUUCCUCCUCUCCAGCGCUGCCGGAGUCUCCCGCCUGUCCAGCGCUGUCAGAGCCUUCCUCCUCUUCAGCGCUGCCGGAGUCUCCCGCCUGUUCAGCUCUACCAGAGACUCCUUCCUGUCCAGCGCUGCCAGAGCCGCCAGUCAGCAUGGAGCAGCCAGAGCCGCCAGUCAGCAUGGAGCAACCAGAGCCGCCAGUCAGCCAGGAUCCGCCAGAUCCGCCAGUCUGCCAGGAUCCGCCAGUCUGCCAGAAUCCGCCAGAGCUGCCAGUCUGCCAGGAUCCGCCAGAGCCGCCAGUCAGCCAGGAUCCGCCAUUCAGCCAGGAUCCGCCAUUCAGCCAGGAUCCGCCAGUCAGCCAGGAUCUGCCAGAGCCGCCAGUCAGCCAGGAUCUGCCAGAGCCAUCAACCUGCCUGA
rnacentral:lncRNA from 1 species